rnacentral:tRNA from 1 species
UCAAAGAAUAGUUUAAGUUUAAAAAUAUUAAUUUUGGAGAUUAAUGAUGAGUUAAUUUUUCUUUGAU